rnacentral:rRNA from 1 species
UGGGGAAUUUUGCACAAUGGAGGAAACUCUGAUGCAGCGACGCCGCGUGAGUGAUGAAGAUCUUCGGAUUGUAAAACUCUGUCCUUAGUGAAGAUAAUGACAGUAACUAAGAAGCAAGCCCUGGCUAAAUACGUGCCAGCAGCCGCGGUAAUACGUAUGGGGCAAGCGUUGUCCGGAAUUAUUGGGCGUAAAGGGUACGUAGGCGGUUUAAUAAGUCCUAAUUAAAAGGCUAUGGCUCAACCAUAGUACGGUUAGGAAACUGUUGAACUUGAGUAGAUGAGGGGAAAGUGGAAUUCCAUGUGUAGCGGUGAAAUGCGUAGAUAUAUGGAGGAACACCAAUGGCGAAGGCAACUUUCUGGAAUCAAACUGACGCUGAGGUACGAAGGCGUGGGGAGCAAACAGG